GUCCACGCCGUAAACGAUGCUAACUCGUUUUGGGCUUUCGGGUUCAGAGACUAAGCGAAAGUGAUAAGUUAGCCACCUGGGGAGUACGUUCGCAAGAAUGAAACUCAAAGGAAUUGACGGGGCCCGCACAAGCAGUGGAGUAUGUGGUUUAAUUCGAAGCAACGCGAAGAACCUUACCUGGUCUUGACAUAGUAAGAACUUUCCAGAGAUGGAUUGGUGCCUUCGGGAGCUUACAUACAGGUGCUGCAUGGCUGUCGU
rnacentral:rRNA from 1 species